AUACGGAGGGUGCGAGCGUUAAUCGGAAUUACUGGGCGUAAAGGGUGCGUAGGCGGCUUGAUAAGUCGGAUGUGAAAGCCCCGGGCUUAACCUGGGAAUUGCAUUCGAUACUGUCAGGCUAGAGUAUGUCAGAGGUUGGCGGAAUUCCUGGUGUAGCGGUGAAAUGCGUAGAUAUCAGGAGGAACACCAGUGGCGAAGGCGGCUAACUGGGACAAUACUGACGCUGAGGCACGAAAGCGUGGGGAGCAAACAGGAUUAGAUACCCGAGUAGUCC
rnacentral:rRNA from 1 species